AACAAACGCUGGCGGCGUGCCUAAUACAUGCAAGUCGAACGGGUAGCAAUACCAGUGGCGCACGGGUGAGGAAUACAUAGAUAAGCUGCCUUCGAGUCGGGGAUAACCAGUCGAAAGAUUGGCUAAUACCGGAUAAGACCACAAGAUCUGCGGAUGUAGGGGUUAAAGGUAUUUCGCUUGAAGAUGAGUCUAUGGGAGAUUAGCUAGUUGGUGAGGUAACGGCUCACCAAGGCGACGAUCUCUAACUGGUCUUAGAGGAUGAUCAGUCACACUGGAACUGAGACACGGUCCAGACUCCUACGGGAGGCAGCAGUAGGGAAUAUUGCGCAAUGGGGGAAGCCUGAUCCAGCCAUGCCGAGUGUGUGAAGAAGGCCUUUUGGUUGUAAAGCACUUUAAGCGAGGAGGAGGCUCUUAAGGUUAAUACCCUUGAUGAGUGGACGUUACUCGCAGAAUAAGCACCGGCUAACU
rnacentral:rRNA from 1 species